rnacentral:rRNA from 1 species
GAUGAACGCUAGCUACAGGCUUAACACAUGCAAGUCGCAGGGUAACAUGAGGAAAGCUUGCUUUCCUUGAUGACGACUGGCGCACGGGUGAGUAACGCGUAUCCAACCUUCCCAUAACUACGGGAUAACCCGUUGAAAGACGGCCUAAUACCGUAUGAUAUCGUUUGCUGACAUCAAAUAACGAUUAAAGGUUUAGCGGUUAUGGAUGGGGAUGCGUCUGAUUAGCUUGUUGGCGGGGUAACGGCCCACCAAGGCGACGAUCAGUAGGGGUUCUGAGAGGAAGGUCCCCCACAUUGGAACUGAGACACGGUCCAAACUCCUACGGGAGGCAGCAGUGAGGAAUAUGGGUCAAUGGGCGAGAGCCUGAACCAGCCAAGUAGCGUGCAGGAUGACGGCCCUAUGGGUUGUAAACUGCUUUUAUGUGGGGAUAAAGUGCGUGACGUGUCAUGCAUUGCAGGUACCACAUGAAUAAGGACCGGCUAAUUCCGUGCCAGCAGCCGCGGUAAUACGGAAGGUCCGGGCGUUAUCCGGAUUUAUUGGGUUUAAAGGGAGCGUAGGCUGUCUAUUAAGCGUGUUGUGAAAUAUACCGGCUCAACCGGUGGCUUGCAGCGCGAACUGGUCGACUUGAGUAUGCAGGAAGUAGGCGGAAUUCAUGGUGUAGCGGUGAAAUGCUUAGAUAUCAUGACGAACUCCGAUUGCGCAGGCAGCUUACUGUAGCAUAACUGACGCUGAUGCUCGAAAGUGCGGGUAUCAAACAGG